CUCAGAUUGAACGCUGGCGGCAGGCCUAACACAUGCAAGUCGAACGGUAACAGGAAGAAGCUUGCUUCUCUGCUGACGAGUGGCGGACGGGUGAGUAAUGUCUGGGAAACUGCCUGAUGGAGGGGGAUAACUACUGGAAACGGUAGCUAAUACCGCAUAACGUCGCAAGACCAAAGAGGGGGACCUUCGGGCCUCUUGCCAUCGGAUGUGCCCAGAUGGGAUUAGCUUGUUGGUGGGGUAACGGCUCACCAAGGCGACGAUCCCUAGCUGGUCUGAGAGGAUGACCAGCCACACUGGAACUGAGACACGGUCCAGACUCCUACGGGAGGCAGCAGUGGGGAAUAUUGCACAAUGGGCGCAAGCCUGAUGCAGCCAUGCCGCGUGUAUGAAGAAGGCCUUCGGGUUGUAAAGUACUUUCGGCGGGGAGGAAGGGAGUAAAGUUAAUACCUUUGCUCAUUGACGUUACCCGCAGAAGAAGCACCGGCUAACUCCGUGCCAGCAGCCGCGGUAAUACGGAGGGUGCAAGCGUUAAUCGGAAUUACUGGGCGUAAAGCGCACGCAGGCGGUUUGUUAAGUCAGAUGUGAAAUCCCCGGGCUCAACCUGGGAACUGCAUCUGAUACUGGCAAGCUUGAGUCUCGUAGAGGGGGGUAGAAUUCCAGGUGUAGCGGUGAAAUGCGUAGAGAUCUGGAGGAAUACCGGUGGCGAAGGCGGCCCCCUGGACGAAGACUGACGCUCAGGUGCGAAAGCGGGGGGAGCAAACAGGAUUAGAUACCCUGGUAGUCCACGCCGUAAACGAUGUCGACCUUGGAGGUUGUGCCCUUGAGGCGUGGCUUCCCGGAGCUAACGCGUUAAAGUCGACCGCCUGGGGAGUACGGCCGCAAGGUUAAAACUCAAAUGAAUUGACGGGGGCCCGCACAAGCGGUGGAGCAUGUGGUUUAAUUCGAUGCAACGCGAAGAACCUUACCUGGUCUUGACAUCCACAGAACUUUCCAGAGAUGGCUUGGUGCCUUCGGGAUCUGUGUGCCCGGUGCUGCCUGGCUGUCGUCAGCUCGUGUU
rnacentral:rRNA from 1 species